GGGCCUGUAACUCAGUUGGUUAGAGUACCCGGCUCAUAACCGGGUUGUCCUGGGUUCGAGUCCCAGCUGGCCCACUA
rnacentral:tRNA from 2 species